rnacentral:rRNA from 1 species
ACUCCUACGGGAGGCAGCAGUGGGGAAUAUUGCACAAUGGGCGCAAGCCUGAUGCAGCCAUGCCGCGUGUAUGAAGAAGGCCUUCGGGUUGUAAAGUACUUUCAGCGGGGAGGAAGGCGAUAAGGUUAAUAACCUUGUUGAUUGACGUUACCCGCAGAAGAAGCACCGGCUAACUCCGUGCCAGCAGCCGCGGUAAUACGGAGGGUGCAAGCGUUAAUCGGAAUUACUGGGCGUAAAGCGCACGCAGGCGGUCUGUCAAGUCGGAUGUGAAAUCCCCGGGCUCAACCUGGGAACUGCAUUCGAAACUGGCAGGCUAGAGUCUUGUAGAGGGGGGUAGAAUUCCAGGUGUAGCGGUGAAAUGCGUAGAGAUCUGGAGGAAUACCGGUGGCGAAGGCGGCCCCCUGGACAAAGACUGACGCUCAGGUGCGAAAGCGUGGGGAGCAAACAGGAUUAGAAACCCCUGUAGUCCCAUGA